UAAGUCAGAGCUUGAGAAAGCAUUUUAGUUACAUUAAAAAGAUAUUGUUAAAUCAAUUGACUUAA
rnacentral:tRNA from 1 species